AUGAGUGAUAAUGAGAAAAUUAAUGAAAGUUCUGAAGUAUAUUUUAUUCUUCUGGGUUUUUCUAAAUGACCUCAUCUAUAAGUUGUUUUCUUUGUGGUGAUAUUGAUAUUCUACAUAACAACCUAUAACCCUGACAGGGAAUCUUUUCAUCAUCAUCUUGUCACGCCUAGAUUCCCACCGGCACACCCCUAUGUACCUCUUCUUCUCAGAUUUCUCUGCUCUGCAUCUCUGCUAUAUCACUAACUCUGUCCCUCAGGUGCUGUUCAACCUCUAGGUUGAUAUUUUAUGCUGGUUAUAUUGUCCAACUUUAUUUGGUCCUCACUCUGGAUACCAAAGAGUGUGUUCUGUUGGUGGUGAUGUCCUAUGACUGCCAUGCAACUGUGUGUAAACCCUUGCAUUACUCUGUCCUCAUAAAUCCUCAUUUUUGCCACCUGCUGGCUGCAGCAUCUGGAUAUGUGGCUUUACUUCAUAAAUCCUUUACUUUCCAGGAAGCUCUGUAUGGACAUUUCCAAGUAGACCACUUCUGUGAAGUGCCAGCAUUGUUGUGGUUUUCCUGUCUUUACAUUCAUGCAAAUGAGCUGACCCUCAUGGACAUGCGUGCUGAUUUUGUAGUUGUACCACUUAUUCUCAUUCUGAGCUCCUAUGGUGCCAUUGCAUGGGCUGUCCUGAGUAGGUAACCAACUACUUGACUUCAGAAAGUUUGAGGACCUGUGAAGCCCAUUUUACUGUUGUUUCUCUCUUUUUCAUUCCAAUCAUGUGCAUUUAUCGUCACCCUUCAACCAAAAAAAUCUCAUGGUUAAGCCAAAUUCACUGCCCUCUCCUAUACUGUUGUUACAUCUAGCCCCAACCCUCUCAUCUAUACUCCAUGAAACAAAGAUAUGAGAGAAGCC
rnacentral:lncRNA from 1 species